rnacentral:lncRNA from 1 species
UUAGAGGCGGAAUGGAGAUACAAAUGAUUGGCCACAACUUGUUCCUUGUCUCUUUUUCGCUGGUUAAUUUGAUCACUGCAAAUGCAUAGGUGCGAUUGUAUAUAAUAAUAAGCAAUAUCGUAUGUUAUAGAGACUGAAAAUCCUCACUACAAAAAAACAUUUGAUUACCGGCGGCGUUUGCCGUCGGAAAUGGCGAGGCGGUAAUUUUCUCGUCGGUAACACAAUUACCGGCGGCAAAACACACCGCCGGUAAUUAGCGGCGGUAGGUCCCGCCGUUAUAUUUCCUCGGUGAACGGCGGAGACCUGCCGGCACAUUACCGGCGGCGAAAUCGCCGCCGGUAAUAUUCACCGGACGGCGGCGGUGAAUCAUGCCAGAGAUUAUUUCAUUACCGGCGGUAAAAUGCCGCCUCUAAUUGUCGGCGGCAUAAUGCCGCCGGUAAUUUUUUUUUGUAAUUUAAUUAAUUAAUUAAUUUUAUUUAUUUAUUUAUUUAUUUCAUAAGUUAGACAAACUUCCCAGUCGGUCACCCAUCUUAGUUGUGCUCUAAGUCAGGCACGCUUAACUUUGAAGUUCCUUUCGAAUGGUCACCAGUACAGAACACUCGUAUUAUUGAUAUAUAUAGUACCUAUUAAUUCAUUUAAAGUCUAAUUUAAUAUACAAAAUCAUAUAUUCAUAACCUUAUAAUAUAUCGAGAUGGUAUCCAUGAGAUGUUGUUAAUUACGGAUCAAACUCGUUUUUGUCUUUAUUUUUAUGUCGCAAAAGUAUUUAUUUAUUAAUUUAUUAUUAUUAUUAUUAUUAUUAUUAUUAUUAUUAUUAUUAUUAUUAUUAUUAUUUUUUAAUCAAUCUAGUUUAUACACCAUAAGUAUUUUAUUUUGAUAAUUGUAUUUUGAAUGUAUUUCCAUACGUCCUUAUUUUUAUAAAAAACAAGGGAGAUAAUUUGUUAUAAGAUAAGUAAUUUGAAUUUAUUUCCAUUCGUCGUUAUUUUGAAUUUAUUACUUUGUUACGAAGUAAUUGUAAUGUUGUUUGAAAACAUGAAAUUAAUAGUUGCUCAACAUAACAUAAAUGUAAAAAGAAAGUGUGCAAGUAUAAUUUUGUUCCUAAACAUAGUUCAAACAAAUAGUUCCAAAACAUGAAUUAAAUAGUCCAAAACAUGAAAUUAAUAGUUCCAAAACAUGAAGUGCUGCUCAAGGUAGCUGACCCGACCGCCUCAUGAACUCCUCGAAUUGAGCCAUACGCUGCUCGAGGGCCUCACGUUCUGCUCGAAAUGUUAAAUCAAUCAUGCUUAAAAUUCAUGAUAAAUAAUCACAUACUAGCAUACUUAAAAUUCAAUUAAUCAUACUUGAAAUUAAUCAUGCUUAAAAUUCAUGAUAAAUAAUCACAUAUUAGCAUGCUUAAUAUCAUCAUGCUUAAAAUUCCAUUUCAUGAUAAACACAUACUAGCAUACUUAAAAUUCAAUUAAUCAUACUUCAUUUAACAAAAUUAUUUAACAUAAAUAAAUCUCUAACAAAUUCAUACUUAAAAUUAAUCAUGCUUUAUAAUUAAUCAAACUUUAAUUUAAAAUUAAUCAAACUCCAACAAAUUAUUAAUUAGAUUGUAAAAACAAAUUUAAAAUUAAUUUAACUAAUUAAAAUUAAUCAUACUUCACAUAUUAUAAAUUAAUUAAAAUUAAUCAAAUUAACAUUAAUUAGAUUCUAACAAAAUAAUAUUAAAAAACAAAUUUAAAAUUAAUUAAUCAUACUUCAAAUAUUAUAAAUUAAUUAAAAUUAAUCUAAUUAAUAUUAAUUUUAAUCUAACAAAAUAAUUAAUAAAUAAAUAAAUCAAAUAACGAGAACGAAAGCGUACGGUAGCGGUCGGCGGUGGCGAUGGCGGUGUCGGCAGCGGCGCGGCGUCGUUCAACUGAAAUGUUAAAGAAAUAAAUUAAAUGAGAUGUGAAAGUGAGAGAUAAAGAGAAAGAGAGAGAAAUAAUACAUGCAGGGGUGGCUGGCCGGCGGCGGUGGCUCGGCGGCAGCGGCUGGGGGUCGGCGAGGCGGCGACUGGGGGGGGGGGGAGGCGCGGCAGGGAGGGUCUGGAGGGAGGCGUAAGGUCUGCGUGAAAAGGGGAUCUGGAGGCCUAUUUAAUUUAACAAUUAGCGGCGGCAUUUUGCCGCCGCUAAUUACAGAUGGCAAUGCCGCCGGUAAUCCCCAUUGUAUUUAAAUUUAAAGUUAAAUUUAAUUAUUUUAUAAAUACCGGCGGUGAGCUGCCGGUAAUUAGCGGCGGCGACAAUGCCGCCGGUAAUUAGCGGCGGCGACAAUGCCGCCGGUAAACAAAAAAAACGACCCGCCUUAUUUUGCUAUCGUUGGGCCGCCGGUAAUUACCGGCGGUAAGUUUGCCGCCGGUAUUCCGGCGCUUUUUUGUAGUGCCUACGAUUCACUACUACACCUAACUGUAAUCUUUAAAAAGAUAAAAGUAUGCAAAUUAAAUAAAACCAACCGAAAAAAA